UGCAAGUCGAGCGGUAGCACAGGGGAGCUUGCUCCCUGGGUGACGAGCGGCGGACGGGUGAGUAAUGUCUGGGAAACUGCCUGAUGGAGGGGGAUAACUACUGGAAACGGUAGCUAAUACCGCAUAACGUCGCAAGACCAAAGAGGGGGACCUUCGGGCCUCUUGCCAUCAGAUGUGCCCAGAUGGGAUUAGCUAGUAGGUGGGGUAAUGGCUCACCUAGGCGACGAUCCCUAGCUGGUCUGAGAGGAUGACCAGCCACACUGGAACUGAGACACGGUCCAGACUCCUACGGGAGGCAGCAGUGGGGAAUAUUGCACAAUGGGCGCAAGCCUGAUGCAGCCAUGCCGCGUGUGUGAAGAAGGCCUUCGGGUUGUAAAGCACUUUCAGCGAGGAGGAAGGUGGUGAGCUUAAUACGUUCAUCAAUUGACGUUACUCGCAGAAGAAGCACCGGCUAACUCCGUGCCAGCAGCCGCGGUAAUACGGAGGGUGCAAGCGUUAAUCGGAAUUACUGGGCGUAAAGCGCACGCAGGCGGUUUGUUAAGUCAGAUGUGAAAUCCCCGGGCUCAACCUGGGAACUGCAUUUGAAACUGGCAAGCUAGAGUCUCGUAGAGGGGGGUAGAAUUCCAGGUGUAGCGGUGAAAUGCGUAGAGAUCUGGAGGAAUACCGGUGGCGAAGGCGG
rnacentral:rRNA from 1 species